rnacentral:rRNA from 1 species
AGCGAACGUUAGCGGCGCGCCUAACACAUGCAAGUCGCACGCGAAAGGGGGCAACCCUGAGUAAAGUGGCGCACGGGUGCGUAACACGUAGAUAACCUGCCCUUUGGAGGGGGAUAACGUUCCGAAAGGAGCGCUAAUACCGCAUACAGCAUUCUGGGGUUUGCUCCGGGAUGGCAAAGGUAGGGACCGGCAACGGCCUAUCACCGAAGGAGGGGUCUGCGGCCCAUCAGCUAGUUGGGGAGGUAAUGGCUCACCAAGGCAAAGACGGGUAGCUGGUCUGAGAGGAUGAUCAGCCACACUGGUACUGGAACACGGACCAGACUCCUACGGGAGGCAGCAGUGGGGAAUCUUGGUCAAUGGGCGAAAGCCUGAACCAGCGACGCCGCGUGAGUGAUGAAGGCCUUCGGGUUGUAAAGCUCUGUGGGGCGAGACGAAAGCCUACGUUCUAAUAGGACGUAGUUUGACGGUAUCGCCUUAGCAAGCACCGGCUAACUCUGUGCCAGCAGCCGCGGUAACAC